CCCCCCUUAUGCAUUUUAUACUUUUUAAAGACCCCCCUCCCCCCCCCCCUCUUUUACCACUUGAAAAUAUAGUUUUGUAUUGAUGGCUAGCCCAAUCUUUAGCUAACACUUUAUGAAAUAUUGGGGGGUGAGGCUCGUGCCAAAGGCACGGAAAAUUUUAAAAUUUGAAUGCCGGAAAUAACAUUUGCGGCAUUCUGACACGCAAAAUCAGAAAACCCAGGAUUCCGGUAUGUAACGAGAAACAAUCCUUUUGUUGGAAAAAA
rnacentral:lncRNA from 1 species